AGCGAACGCUGGCGGCAGGCUUAACACAUGCAAGUCGAGCGGAUGUAGCAAUACAUCAGCGGCAGACGGGUGAGUAACACGUGGGAACGUACCUUUUGGUUCGGAACAACACAGGGAAACUUGUGCUAAUACCGGAUAAGCCCUUACGGGGAAAGAUUUAUCGCCGAAAGAUCGGCCCGCGUCUGAUUAGCUAGUUGGUGAGGUAAUGGCUCACCAAGGCGACGAUCAGUAGCUGGUCUGAGAGGAUGAUCAGCCACAUUGGGACUGAGACACGGCCCAAACUCCUACGGGAGGCAGCAGUGGGGAAUAUUGGACAAUGGGCGCAAGCCUGAUCCAGCCAUGCCGCGUGAGUGAUGAAGGCCCUAGGGUUGUAAAGCUCUUUUGUGCGGGAAGAUAAUGACGGUACCGCAAG
rnacentral:rRNA from 1 species